rnacentral:rRNA from 1 species
UACGGAGGUGGCGAGCGUUGUCCGGAUUUACUGGGCGUAAAGAGCGCGCAGGCGGUCGUCCAAGUCGCGUGUGAAAGCCCCCGGCUCAACUGGGGAGGGUCACGCGAUACUGAUCGACUCGAAGGCAGGAGAGGGAAGCGGAAUUCCCGGUGUAGUGGUGAAAUGCGUAGAUAUCGGGAGGAACACCAGUGGCGAAGGCGGCUUCCUGGCCUGUUCUUGACGCUGAGGCGCGAAAGCUAGGGUAGCAAACGGG